CAGCGGGGCCCGGCCCAGCGUGGCCUGCACCACGUCCAUCAGGUUAGAGCACAGCAGCUCGUCCUCGGGGUCGUGCAGCAGCUCCAGGUCCAGGUCCGGCAGCGACACCCCGUCGGCGUACUCGGCAUCUGCGGGAGGCACGGAGGCAGCGAGCCCAUCUGGGAUGGAGUUUUGAUCCCGCCUGCCGUCACGUUUAAAGCGAUCCUGGCCACGGACCCGCUGACUGUGCAGGAGGCCCCCGCAGAGCAGGGGCUGGCAGCCCUCCAAGGCUGGGGAGGAGGUUUUCCGGGCUGGGGCCGGGGCCGGGACACGUCUCAGCUGAGCCGCAGCCUUACGUGGGAACGCCCCUACACCGCUCCAGGAACCUCGCCGUGAAUUUCCACGGAGCUGGAGUUCGGGCUUCACCAGCAGUGUGGGGCUCUGGAUCACCCAAAUCUCUGACACUGGAACUGAUUUAUUAACAGCAACAAACACAGAAGGUGGCUGUGUACUUUCCCCCCUUAGUUUUGGCUCACUGCUGGUGAUCCAGCUAAAAUGGGGAGAGUUUCCAAUUAAUCUGUUUCAAUCCAGAUGUGACUGGGCUGAAAUAGUGAGUAAAAAAUACAAUCAUCUAGCAAACAAGAUGUUGAAAAUGGAAGACUUAGGCAUCUGGAGCAGUAAAUCAUAUAAUUGCUUGCAUACGGUGCUGCUCCUACCCCCUGCUGGCCAGCAGAGCCGUGGGGUGAAGGCUCUCAUCCAUGGAAAAUCAUGUUGAAAUGGUUAUGCCAGAACAUGGAAACUCAGUUCCCUCCAGGAACAGAAGUGAAGUACAACCGAAAAACAAGAUGAUUAAAAUGGAUGGAUUUAAAUAAGGGGUUUCUGCCGCUGGCAGAGCUAAACCAAGAUUAAAAUCUGAUUUAAAUCAAUCCACUUUUGAGCGUGAGUUCCUCUCAAACUGAACUUCACUUGACCAUCACGACAGCCGAGCUGCCUCCGAGCUUCAUUAAACCUCGCCCACCUCCUGAACAGCUGACUGUUUCCCUCAUCAGACCCUCCCCCAUCAGAUAAACUGUUUUGAAGAGAGAAUUAUUUUAUUGUCACAGAGAAAUUUAAUACAAACGAAGAGGAAAAAGUUUCAGAGUGUUAAAGAAAGAGCAGUGUCCUUCCUUACCAGCACUACUAGAGAAAGGGUGAUGGAGAGGGAACAGCUUCCGAGGCACCGCGUGGCCCCUCACCCGACCUGGGCCAGUUCCUGCCGUGUCCAUCCCCCAGAACAAGGGCUGGGGCUGAGGAGUGUUUUUGGCAGGGUGUCAUUUGCUGCAGAGCACAGACAGGGGUUUCCCCAGUCACCCAGUGCUUCGGCCGCGCGCCAGCGCAGGGCCAGGCCGAGUUACUGGGUCGCCCUCCCCGCGGCCACACUGUCAGUGUGCCCUCCUCUGUCAAUAAUACAGUGACUCUCGGAGAGCUGCACAGCUGAUCCUGCCUUCUAAGUUACAGAGACUGAGCCCUGCCAGCCUGCCAGAGUGAGGACUUACAGAAUCCAGUCAUUUCUGUUUAUUGGCAGCUUUACGGGGAUCCCCGCUCCCAGAAAGACGCGAAGCCCCGCCGUGCCGAUGCAGCUGUCAGCAUCUGAUGAACGGGGGGGGUUUGGAAGCCAGGCCAGGGAAUGCUUUUCUUCUGCUCCCUGACAGCAGCGAUCCAGACACGCUCAGCCCGAGGAAGGAGUGAAUCCCAGGAGCUGCUCUAUUGGCUUGUACCUCCACUCAUCUGCCUCCAGCUCCUCCACCAGACCGGCUAGUUUUUCCAUCCUUGCCACUUGUUGAUCUGCGAGUUCAAAGGUAACUGUGGUUUGCAAUGGCAGCGCAAUUAAACCUUUCAAUUAGAUGCAAAUUCCCAGCUGUCAGUGGGGAGCAGGGUGGAAUAAAACCCACCGAGCCCCUUUGAAUCCAAACCCACCCUGUGCAAACGGCAAGGAGAAAGCAGGGACAGGCUUUUCUGCCCCGGUGUGUAUUUACCCAUCCCUGCCCGUGCCGUGUACAUUCAAGUCCUAACAGGGAAACACAAGGCCCAUUAGUGUACAGGGGUGAAAACAGGAUGGAGCUCAUUUCUUUAGCAUAAAUAUUUAUAGUGCAGAAGAACAGAGAAGUUCAGAGGGCUUGGUCAGCCCACGGGAGAGCUGGGUGCAGCACAAAGAACUGCUGGCUUUAAUGAAGGUCCUCGGAGGAGGACCUGGAUGAGUGUGGCAGAAAGGCUCUGCAAUCAGAGCCUGCUAACGAGAUGAAGGUCUGUCCCUGGGGAUCCCCAAGACAACACGUUCCUCUUAGGUUUAUCUAUAACUGAUUUGUGUGCUGGGUACAUGGGCUCCAUUUUCAGCUAAGUUAUCUGCAGUGGUGCAGAGAUGGGAAUUAUCUCUUCUCCUGGCUCUGCUGGAAGUGUAACAGCGUGCUGUAAACUCACUGCAGCCUCUUGGAGAGACGGCCCAGGACUAGAGAGAGGUGUAACAUAAACUGUGCAUGAUUUAUGCUGACUGCAGCACUGGGUGCUUUGGAGAGGGACUCUUCUCACUCCACCUCCUGCAACAGAGUGCUUUUGGGAACUGUCAAACAAACAAGCCAAAAAAUGAUGACCUUGAUCUUUUCCUUUAAGCCCUACACCUUUCUUACAAAGAGAAAACAGGGAGGUGCUCUGCAAACCAGUUUCCAAGUCUGGUCUUUGUCGGGGUGCCAGGCUGUGCAGCAGCCCCCGGUAGCUACAGCCACAACAGAGCUGUGGAAACGAGGGCUCAGAAGUUCAGCUUGGCUUUUUGGUUCAUAAAGAGAGGAUCACAGCCUCACAAGCUGCUGCACGCCCUCAGACCACCUCCUGACAACCGGAGGAGGACAGGAAACCUCCACGGUCUGAGACAACAGGUGGAAGUACCAUUUGAACUGACAAGAGGUGGGGACAGAAAGGAUGUGACCCUGCAGCAGCAGGCAGGAUCUGGUGCUGGGCUCUGCUCUGAGAACCGAAGCUGGGUGCAAUCAAGCCCAUCCUUUGGUUACAGGGCGAAGGGCCCAGGAGGGAAACAGAGGUUCAAAGAAGACGUAAGGCUCUUCCCUGGGGAGGCAGGGAGUGGAGUCAGCCCUGUCACACCACGCCACGCCACGCCAGGCACCUCCUGAGCACCUCUGGGAACCUCGCUUGACCCCGCCGGUGCCACGAGGGCUCAGCUGAGAAACAAAGGUGGAAUGGAGCGUCUCUUUGCCCCAGGCCAGAGAGACAGUCAGUGCUGGGCUGAGAGAUCAGAGCGUGGGCGUUUCCUGCCCAUAACCUCCUCCUCCGGCCUCACCUCGGCCACGGACAAACAAGCUUCGGGAGGCACGGCCUGUUCCCACCCAGGCUCUGUGGGCUCCCGGCGCUUUGCAUAGGGCUUGCAAAAGGACUCGGGGGGUGGCCUGACUUAGCGUUUGUGGUGCUUUUUUGUGGUUGGCACCCGAGAGCAGGUCAGGCUUCUCCCCUGCCCCCUUCCCCGCCGCAGCAGACGGUGCUUACCGUGCUUCACCUGCUUCAGUGUCGACGCCACCUGGAAGCUGAAGACAGACUCACAGAGGAAUCUCUCGGAGCCAUCUGUAAGCAGGAAGAAGAGGUGGCUGAACCCCAGAGUUAAGGCUGAGCAGCGUUCACUGAGUGCUGCCGACCUUCUAUUUUCACGUUGGAGGUGUGGGUUUCCCCCCUGCCUCGCCAGCCCCUGCGACCCUGCACAGGGCUCUGGCUGGUUCCUGGUGCCACUUGGGGGACAUCCCGACUGGAAUUCUGCUACAUCCCCUCUGACAAGCAAUUUUAGUCCAUUUUUAAAUAGAAGGUAAGCUAAGGAGAAGCCAGGUAAUGUCAUGGCAGUUUUGGAUUCCCUCAGGUCUCAGACGCUUGUGUCCUUAGAAUGCUUUAGGAUCUCUCACAGGCUCAGACCAUAACCCUGCAUAAAGAAUUUCAAAUAAUGUGUAUCUUGCCAUCCAAGUCAGUAAUUUAUCACACAAGUGACUCAGAAAUAAAGCAAUCUGGAAAAACACA